GGCCUGGUUGGUGGGCCGUCUAGCAGUUGA
rnacentral:piRNA from 1 species